rnacentral:rRNA from 1 species
AGUAGCGCGUAAAGAACUUGCCUCAUAGUCUGGGACAACAUUUGGAAACGGAUGCUAAUACCGGAUAUUAUGCUUUCUUCGCAUGGAGGAAGUAUGAAAGCUAUAUGCGCUAUGAGAGAGCUUUGCGUCCCAUUAGCUAGUUGGUGAGGUAACGGCCAACCAAGGCGAUGAUGGGUAGCCGGCCUGAGAGGGUGAACGGCCACAAGGGGACUGAGACACGGCCCUUACUCCUACGGGAGGCAGCAGCG